GGUCACUAAUGUUAUAAAUAUCUAAAAAGAGCCUAUGUUUUAUAGAUAUAAUUGGCUCCUAGGGAAAGGACAUUGAGGGGACUAAGGAAUUUCUGGAAUCAUAUUUUAGUGUGUAUGUGCAAAGGGCAGUCCAGAGUUAUAACACAAAAAUAAUGACUCUGAGCUUUCCAGUAAUGACAAAAACACCCAUGGCUCCAGUUACAGAGAGUCUGACACACUUUCUGGUCUCUGCAGACACCCACAUACACAUAGUGUACACUCAAAGACAGACAGACAGACAGACAGACAGACAGACACAUAGCGUACACUCAAAGACAGACAGACAGACACACACACACACACACACACACAAUAUAAAAAAUAAUAAACCCAAAGGAAGUCAGUUAAGUAUACCAAUUAAGGAGGCACUAUGGUUAUUCAAAGUUACCCAAGAUAACAAUCUACCAAAUGAAGAUAUCAUGGUAGAGGAUCCUGAGACACAUAUUAGUUCUUGAGGACUCCAAAAGAGAUGGGUCAACCAUGCUAUUCCUUGUCAGAUGGAAAGGUAUGCAUCUUUGAUAAUAUUGAGGCACAUACAACAUAGUCAAAGCUGCCUAUUCCAUUUGCACAAUGUACAAUUGUUCCAUAUGCCAGAAAAGUAGGUAGACAGACUUAUUCAUGGAUGUCCACUAAUGCCCUUUUUUAUAUAGAGUGGUAUAGAAAUUUUAUAUUUCAGUUUUAAUAUUUCACAGUCAUGGGCUUGAAUGAGAUUUGGAGAAAAUUACAUUGCAACAGAUCUUCUGAACAUUGUUAUACAUUGUUCAUUUCUACAGAAAGUCACACUCCCUGUGCCUUGCCUGUGAAUACAAUACAAGAUUAGGUAGAAAAUGGGUACAGUAUAAUCACGAAAAGAAUGCAGCACUGCAGCAUAUAAUAGCUGCAGUAGAGGAAAGGAAGAGUCUAGGGGAGUCCCCUAAUGCCAGUGGGCUGAGCACUGCAGGAGAGGGUUCCUCCGCCCACGCAUAGUGUGUCUUAGACAGGUUGCUUUUCAAAUGUGUCAAAUGAUGGUGCUACAGCUCAUUCCUUUACUGAAAACUGUCUAGUGCUUUCCCUAAAUGGAACUCAACAUCUUGACUAUUUUCAGCAAUGCCGUUUACAUGCCUCCGUCCUACUGUUAUUCUCCCGUAACAGAAGUCCCACUGUACAUUUUCAGAAUCUUCAGAAUUUGCAGCCUCACCUGAGGCUUUCUGACAUUUGUUGUUCCUUGUUCUGUGACACUUAUUGCCCACAUAUUCAUACACUUGUCUUGCUCAUUUUCUUCACUGGAGUUCAGAUUUCUUCCAACGAAAGUUUUCUGUCUCUACCUUGUCCAAAAUAAAUCCCGAUUUCCUUCUCAUCUACACAUACUUAACCAUGAUAGGUGUCCACUCACAUACAUUGUCAUAGAAAAACAUAUCAUACCCCAUCACACUAACUCGUAUAGAGCAUAAUCACAUACAUAACUACACACUCAUUUGUGUAGCUUAAACGCUUACACACACACACACCCUACUUCCCUUUAUCCCUUACCAUACAAUACUACUUAGCCUAUAACAUCAUAGUGUAUCUAGAUAUGUUUUGUUUUCUCUUUUUUUUAAAUGUCAUGUUGAGAAUGAUAACUCUUCCUUUACUUAGCUUCAGAGCUAAAAGAGUAAUAUAUCAUCAUUUGCAUUCAUGAGAAAUAAAUACUGUAAACAUAAAUAUAAAUAGGUGUGGCACCAUUCUUUAUUUCUGAAAAAUAUAAACAUAAAGGGAGUUGACUGUCUAAAAGCUUCCAGAGCAUUCCAUGCUUUACCUAGUACAAAGGAUGAAGAGUAAGAUGAGAGAAAUAUCUCUUUGCUCAAGAAAGAUUCUUGAAAGAUUUGUAUUUGUCUCUAAAAUAAAUAUGAAGUGAUGAAACCUUUUUAAGCAGGGGGUAAAUUUACUCUUCUGUGGCUGCUUUUCUUUGAGCAAUUAGUUCAAGGAAUCUUUGGCAUUAGUUUGUGGGACACCCUGAAAAGGAAGCCUCAGGUGUUCCAGUAUGUGGACUCUUGCAUAGGACCUUGUCACUGUUUUCCUUUCUCUCGUGUUGUGGGUGACCUCAUCAUCUUACCAGGACCCCAAUGUUGUUUUGUCAUGCUGGAAGGAACACAUUGCUCCUGCAUGCUGGCCAUCUGGGAUCCUCUUCCCAUCCAUCCACUUCACUUCUGCGUCUACCAAUAAAAAGUUCAAUUUUAAACCCUUUGAGAAAUUUGCUGGGAUUCAAUGAAAUCUGAAGUCUUACAGCUGCCAAAUAAAAAGUAAAAUAAAAGUAGAUGUCUUUUUCUUUCAGGCGUGUACCAGAUGUCUGUUUCAGAAGCAGCUGUCCCUGGGGGAGGAGGUAGGAAGGGUGAAGGCUGAAGACCCAGACAUUGGAGAAAAUGGCUUAGUCACAUACAAUAUCAUUGAUGGAGCCGGCAUAGAACUGUUUGAAAUCACAACAGACUAUGAAACACUAUGUUGCUGCUGCUGCUGCUGCUGCUGCCUCCUAGAGCUCCUCAUUUAGCCCCCUGAGACAAGCCUGUGGUUAGUUGUUGUUAGCCUUGCUACACAGACAGGAAACCAUAGCUAGGAAUUAGACACUGCCUGAGGUUUGAGAGCUUGCUGUUAGCACAAUACCAAUUCCGAAACAGGCCUUCCUCACUCUCAGGGAAGCUUCUUACCUGCCAGGCUUUCCUGCCCUUAGGCCUUGUGUCAGUGGAACUCUUCCGGGUCACAGUAAUUCUCUGUUAAUAAAAGUUUCCCACCGU
rnacentral:lncRNA from 1 species